AGGGGAUGUGGUUUAGUGGUAUAAUACUCCCUUAGCAAUCAAUCCAAUUGGUUCUAAGUUUGGGAGUGGUCCAGGGUUCGAUUCCCUGCAUCUCCAU